rnacentral:rRNA from 1 species
UGGGGAAUAUUGCACAAUGGGGGAAACCCUGAUGCAGCGACGCCGCGUGAGCGAAGAAGGCUUUCGAGUCGUAAAGCUCUGUCCUAUGAGAAGAUAAUGACGGUAUCAUAGGAGGAAGCCCUGGCUAAAUACGUGCCAGCAGCCGCGGUAAUACGUAUGGGGCGAGCGUUGUCCGGAAUUAUUGGGCGUAAAGGGUACGUAGGUGGUUUUUUAAGUCAGGUGUCAAAGCGUGGAGCUUAACUCCAUUAAGCACUUGAAACUGAAAGACUUGAGUGAAGGAGAGGAAAGUGGAAUUCCUAGUUUAGCGGUGAAAUGCGUAGAUAUUAGGAGGAAUACCGGUGGCGAAGGCGACUUUCUGGACUUUUACUGACGCUCAGGUACGAAAGCGUGGGGAGCAAACAGG